rnacentral:misc_RNA from 1 species
UCAGAGACUCUGGGGCCUGUG